rnacentral:rRNA from 1 species
UCUACGGGAGGCAGCAGUAGGGAAUCUUCGGCAAUGGGGGCAACCCUGACCGAGCAACGCGCGUGAGUGAAGAGGGUUUUCGGAUCGUAAAGCUCUGUUGUAAGUCAAGAACGGGUGUGAGAGUGGAAAGUUCACACUGUGACGGUAGCUUACCAGAAAGGGACGGCUAACUACGUGCCAGCAGCCGCGGUAA